rnacentral:lncRNA from 1 species
GUAUAUAUGAAUUUCAAAAUCAUAGACUUCUAAAAAUUCAUGGGAGUAAGCUGAAAUUAUGUAAAUCAAAUUUUAAUGUAUCUGGUAAUGGGAUUGUAAGAAAGAUCACUUUAAACAUAACCCUCUGAUUACUCGCAGUUAAGUGCACCUUAGCAUGAAGAGCAUCUUUCAGCAUUUAAACCUUUAAGUGAAAAUUGAAAGUAAAAUUCUAGGCUGGGGAAGUAUUACAUAGUCCUCUGCUUUGCCCAAUGACCCUGAAUUUGAAACGAGCUUAGGGACCGUCUGUAAUUCUGCCACGUCAUAUACACAGUGUGACCUCUGCACUAUUUGUCUGAAACUAACCCAAUAAGCUUUUCCUCUUGGCUUUGUAGUUCACCUCACCUCGCAGUGGCAUCUUCUGAUAACCGUCAGUCUGUGCUUAGUAAGCAUGUGUCAUGGCUCCGAACCUCAUCUUGAAGAAAUGGGGAGACUGAGGCUGGGCAUCUGCUGCUGAGGAAGCUGCCCUCCCACAUGUGGUGUUUGCGGAGAAUGGCGCUGUCAUCAUGGGCCAUUCGUGUAGCUUGAAGACACAUGCUACCCUGGCCACAGAUACAUAGCUUUUGAAGCAGACAUUCUUGGUGGGGAAAUGGUGAUAGUUUUGUUCUUUUUCAUUCAGUUUUUUUCUGGGAAGUUCUCUGUGGUUCAAAGGCUGUUCUGACCGGCCACCCGACUUGGCUGUUCAGUGUCUUUCUUGGGUUCUUCUCCCUCUCUUUAAAGAACUAUCUUCCUUAUUUAUUUUAGGGUGGUUUCUUUUUCUUCUUAAAGACUUGUGCAAUACAUUUUGAGGUGAAACUUAGUGAAUUUUUUUCUGAUAAAUUAGAGAAUUUAAUUGAAUAUUUGCUAAGGCUUGCUUCUUCAAGCUAUGAUAAGUCCCAGAUGGCAGCACCUCAUGUUUACCUAGCUUUUGUACUUAUAUUAUUUUUCAGAGGAAAAAAUACUACUGUAAAUUGUAAAUAGAACAUAAUCCUAUUGUCUGCAGCUCUGUGACUGUUGGCCAUGUCAUCUCAGAGGAUCAGAUGAAUAAAGUUUAUUUCCUAUAUAAUAGUUUUCACUGUG